rnacentral:sRNA from 1 species
CAGAGUAGAGAGAGAGAGACAGAGAGAGAGAGAGAGAGAGAGAGAGAGAGGGAGAGCGGCUUCCUUUGCCAUUCAUUUCUCUCUUGGGAUUUUGAAGAUUCAAAGCUUUGAUAUUUGCCUUACUUUGAUCAAGUCCCUUGAUUUCUCUUCAAGGUGACCGAAGUGGGAUCAAAGGAGAACAACCCAGCUCUCGUUAGGCCUUCAAAUUUCCAGGGAAAAAUGCUACGGAAUGUAAGAAAAAUGUGCCAGAUCUGCCACAUAGGCCAGUGAGAGGGUUUGAAUUUACUCUUAUCCAAAGAAUUUGAUUCUUAUAUUUUGAUGUUUGUAUAUGAGGUUUGCGCAAUUGCUUCAGCAGCAGCCAAAGGAAACCAAGGAAGUGUCUGUGAGUUCAUUCGCUGGAAAUCCGAAGGCUGUGCAGGAGGUUGAUCAGGAAGCUAAGAAACCGAAGUAGGAUGGUGAAGAGGAUGAAAAUGUGGAGGAUGAGGACCCCAUUAUGCUCGCUACGGGAAAACUGAGCAAAAAUGUAAAGCUGAUGAAACUUUGGACUGACUGGACUAGCAGCAUAGUGGACAUUUCUGCAUUUGGACCCCCGAUCUGUAGGAAAGUGUAUCUAGGAAUUUCAAAGUGAUGUAUAAUUUAUGGGGUGGGAGUGAGUUGAGUGGAGUGAGUGUGGGUCCAAAUGCAGAAACUUCAUCAGAAUUGCCCUGGUAUGCUUUCUAAAAACCCCCCUCAAUGACAAUUUGUUUGCUUUUUGACUAUGCUUGCAUGAUAUUUCCAUCGCUUUAACUGUUUUAAAUUCUAUGCCUUGGUACGUAGAA